AUUGAACGCUGGCGGCAUGCCUUACACAUGCAAGUCGAACGGCAGCACGGGAGCAAUCCUGGUGGCGAGUGGCGAACGGGUGAGUAAUAUAUCGGAACGUGCCCAGUCGUGGGGAUAACGUAGCGAAAGCUACGCUAAUACCGCAUACGAUCUACGGAUGAAAGCGGGGGAUCGCAAGACCUCGCGCGAUUGGAGCGGCCGAUAUCAGAUUAGGUAGUUGGUGAGGUAAAGGCUCACCAAGCCGACGAUCUGUAGCUGGUCUGAGAGGACGACCAGCCACACUGGGACUGAGACACGGCCCAGACUCCUACGGGAGGCAGCAGUGGGGAAUUUUGGACAAUGGGCGCAAGCCUGAU
rnacentral:rRNA from 1 species